rnacentral:misc_RNA from 1 species
CGCACAUUGCGCCCAUUAGUAUUCUAGUGGGCAUGCCUGUUCGAGCGUCAUUUCAACCCUUAAGCCUAGCUUAGUGUUGGGAAUCUACGGUUCGGGUGGAGUUACCCUGUAACACUUACCCUGUAGUUCCUGAAAAUCAACGGCGGAUCUGUGGUAUCCUCUGAGCGUAGUAAUUUUAUCUCGCUUUUGUUAGGUGCUAUAGCCCUUGCCGUAAAACCCCCAAUUUUUAAUGGUUGACCUCGGAUCAGGUAGGAAUACCCGCUGAACUUAA